GCGAACGCUGGCGGCAGGCUUAACACAUGCAAGUCGAGCGGACCUUUCGGGGUCAGCGGCGGACGGGUGAGUAACGCGUGGGAACGUGCCUUCCGGUUCGGAAUAACCCUGGGAAACUAGGGCUAAUACCGGAUACGCCCUUAUGGGGAAAGGUUUACUGCCGGAAGAUCGGCCCGCGUCUGAUUAGCUAGUUGGUGGGGUAACGGCCUACCAAGGCGACGAUCAGUAGCUGGUCUGAGAGGAUGAUCAGCCACACUGGGACUGAGACACGGCCCAGACUCCUACGGGAGGCAGCAGUGGGGAAUAUUGGACAAUGGGCGCAAGCCUGAUCCAGCCAUGCCGCGUGAGUGAUGAAGGCCUUAGGGUUGUAAAGCUCUUUUAUCCGGGACGAUAAUGACGGUACCGGAGGAAUAAGCCCCGGCUAACUUCGUG
rnacentral:rRNA from 1 species